GAAGUUAUUAUAAGUAGGGACUUCGAUAACAUUUUGUUCAAGGAGAUGUUGUUUACCGCUCAAUACAAGGACAGCUAGGAGAAUGUCAAUGAUAAAGCAGUUAUUACCUUACCCGCCCGACACUACUAAUGUCUAACAUCUUAUUUUACGGGGUUUUGGAACUUUCCAAAUACCUUCAAACUAUGAUUCUUUAAGUUUGCACUAACUGUAGACUUGGGUGUACGUGAGAACACACCUCAUUCGUCCUGAUAGCUGGAGUCACCUGAGAUGUACACCGCACCACGAGGCUCUUGAUACAGGAGAUAGCAGAACUGAAGUAGUUAAUUAACCCAGGCGCUGACUGUCUGUGAAUUUAUUCUGUGUCUUCCUCAGCACCACUUGGCACGUAAUCAGAGUCCUCUGAAUCACUGGAUGGCCACUCCUCACCCUCUUUUGCAAAGAAGGAAAACAGCAUAGGAUUACGCGGAUCCUUCUUCAGUCCAAAGAUGCCCUUCUCCAUCAGAAACACU